rnacentral:rRNA from 1 species
UGGGCCAUCAUCGGCGACGUGCUCCCUCGCCUGCCGCAGCUCGUCGGGACCCUGGCCAGGCUCAUCUCCAAGAUCAUUGAUGCGGUGAGGACGGCACGCCAGAGUAAGCGGGAGUGCGAGUACCUCACGGUCCGCCUGUCCAUCAUCGGCGACGUGCUCCCUCGCCUGCCGCAGGACGCGAAGAUGAAGCGGUCACUCGCCGAGCUGGCAAAAACGCUGGGCGAGGCGCACAAGCUGGUCCUCGACUGCCAGAAUUGGAGCCCCGCCAGGGAGCUCAUUGGACUUGGUCAACGCCAUGCCGACAGCUUGAAGGAGGUCAACGCCAGGAUCGACUCCCACAUCAACCUCCUGAACUUGAUCUUUAACGCCACCGCCGGCCGCUCCACUUUCAACCACACGACGACGGUGCCGUCGCCGGGCAGUUCCUCGGGUCCUGUUGCCGUCAGGCUCACGUGGGCGGAAAUUGCAGCCGCGACCGAUUACUUCGCCGACGAACUCAGCCGACGCAGCCCGGAGGCGUUGUACAAGGGCCGUCUCCACGACGGCCCGGAGGUGGCCGUGAAGGUGAUGAACAAGAACGGGAGGCAGGACGUGGAGGGCGCGUUCGUGGCGGAGGUCGAGAUCCUCUUCCCCCUCCGCCACCAACACAUCGUGCGACUCGUCGGCUGGUGCUCCGAGGAGGAGGACCGCAUCAUCGUCUACCACCACGAGCAUAUGAGCAACGGCACGCUCAGAGACCACCUGAUGCGCCUGGGCCUGCGCGUGCGCGCUCCAGUGUUCCUGCGGGGCGGCUCUAGCUCGUCGCCAGUGAGAGCGACCUGGAAGACGCGCGUCGAGGUGCUGCUGGGCGUGUCGCGGGCCAUCGAGCACUUGCACCGCUGUGGGGUCAUCCACCGCAACGUCACCUCCUUCAACAUCCUCCUGGACGGAAGCUGGGAGCCGCGCCUGUCCGGCUUCGGCCAAGCGAUCUUGCAGGCGGCAAUGGGCGACCAGGUCGUCGAUGAGGUUGUCGGCACGCCCGGGUACCUCGACCCGGAGUACCGCCGCACGGGGCGUGUGAGCCCGGCGAGCGACGUGUACAGCUUCGGAAUGGUGAUACUAGAGUCGCUGACGGGGAAGGAUCCCGCCACCAUGCAGAUGGACUCGGUGCUCCUGGCCAUACGGAACAGGAAGCUACCGGAUGUGCUGGUCCGCCGCCCCGCGGCGACGCCACGGCAGCUGGAGGCGCUGGAGCUCGUGGCGCACUCGGCGGAGUGCUGCCUGUUUCCACAUGGGAACGACCGGCCUGCCAUGUCGGACGUUGUGACCAGCCUCCAUAGGGCGCUCUUUAAUAUCGACAACAAGUGGACGAGGACGACCACGGUCACGGCCGCGCCACCGCCGAGCUCCAGCUAUGACUCCCACAUCGGCCACGACGACAAGUCGACGACCACGGUCACGGCCGGGCCACCGCCAAGCUACAGCUAUGACUCCCGCAUUGGCCACGACGAGGAGUCGACCAUCACGGUCACGUCCGGGCCACCGCCGAGCUCCAGCUUUGGCUCCCUGCAGAGUCAGGUUUUUUUUUUUUUGAGAAAGCCCUGCAGAGUCAGGUAA